rnacentral:rRNA from 1 species
UACGUAGGGGGGCAAGCGUUGUCCGGAAUCAUUGGGCGUAAAGAGCGUGUAGGCGGCCCGAUAAGUCCGCUGUGAAAGUCCAGGGCUCAACCCUGGGAUGCCGGUGGAUACUGUCGGGCUCGAGUCCGGAAGAGGAGUGUGGAAUUCCUGGUGUAGCGGUGAAAUGCGCAGAUAUCAGGAGGAACACCAAUGGCGAAGGCAGCUCGCUGGGACGGUACUGACGCUGAGACGCGAAAAGCGUGGGGGAGCAAACAGG